GAUGAACGCUGACGGCGUGCUUAACACAUGCAAGUCGAACGGUGAAGCCAAGCUUGCUUGGUGGAUCAGUGGCGAACGGGUGAGUAACACGUGAGCAACCUGCCCUGGACUCUGGGAUAAGCGCUGGAAACGGCGUCUAAUACUGGAUAUGAGCCUCUUCCGCAUGGUGGGGGUUGGAAAGAUUUUUUGGUCUGGGAUGGGCUCGCGGCCUAUCAGCUUGUUGGUGAGGUAAUGGCUCACCAAGGCGUCGACGGGUAGCCGGCCUGAGAGGGUGACCGGCCACACUGGGACUGAGACACGGCCCAGACUCCUACGGGGGGCAGCAGUGGGGAAUAUUGCACAAUGGGCGAAAGCCUGAUGCAGCAACGCCGCGUGAGGGAUGACGGCCUUCGGGUUGCAAACCUCUUUUAGCAGGGAAGAAGCGAAAGUGACGGUACCUGCAGAAAAAGCGCCGGCUAACUACGUG
rnacentral:rRNA from 1 species